rnacentral:rRNA from 1 species
UACGGGGGGGGCAAGCGUUGUUCGGAAUUACUGGGCGUAAAGGGCGCGUAGGCGGCCUGCUAAGUCGGAUGUGAAAUCCCUCGGCUCAACCGAGGAACUGCAUCCGAUACUGGCGGGCUUGAAUCCGGGAGAGGGAUGUGGAAUUCCAGGUGUAGCGGUGAAAUGCGUAGAUAUCUGGAGGAACACCGGUGGCGAAGGCGGCAUCCUGGACCAAUACUGACGCUGAGGAGCGAAAGCCAGGGGAGCAAACGGG